GACGGAGGGCGCAAGCGUUAUUCGGAAUACUGGGCGUAAAGCGCGGGCAGGUCGUCCGUUAAGUCGGUUGUGAAAAUCCGGGGCUCAACCCCGUGAAAUGCAAACGAUACUGGCGGACUAGAGAUUGGUAGAGGCUAGCGGAAUUCCAGGUGUAGCGGUGGAAUGCGUAGAUAUCUGGAAGAACACCAGUGGCGAAGGCGGCUAGCUGGGCCAAGUCUGACACUCAUCCGCGAAAGCGUGGGGAGCAAAC
rnacentral:rRNA from 1 species